UUCAACAGUGCGCACCUCACCUAUCGCAUCAAAUCUGGAUCGAUAUUUGGUUUUAAUGCAAAUGAGGGCAUUAAAACCAGCUUUACACAGAUAUAAGCUGGCGAAGGGUACCAUGAGUUUUAUGGUGCUUUCAAGACAACUGGGAACUCUGAAAAAUACAACGUCAAAUCAUGACCUCAGUGAUCUUCAGGUCGGAAAGUCAGAGCUCUAGAAAGAGGCCCGAGUUCCCGACUUGGAAUUCCGAGUUGGAUGACCGUUCAAAACGAUUUUUCCCAGUUGGAGCUUAUUUUUUUCCUGAGUUCCCAGUUAUCUUGAACUCACUUUAGUCGGAAGUCUGAUUCCAAGUUCCCAGUUGUUUUAAACGUAGCAAUAAUGCUCAGAGGGAGACAGCAUGGUUUCACUUCGAGUCAGGAACAAAAACUCCGUGGUGACACAUGAAUGUGUUGUCUGCAGAAUUCGGUCACAUGAUCUACAGCUCAAUCAGCUGUUCGAUUUCACUUACUGGCAUGUCAACUGAGCAAGGAUCCCAGACAAACGGAUUGGGAAGUAGGUCCUCAAGUGUUCUUCCAAGUGUUGGAGGGGCCAAGCAGCCAGUGAAAAGGGAAGAGGAGGCAGUGGCAAGGAUGACAGCACUCCAGCAAAAAUUAUUUUCUGAUGAGCUGCAACACUCCCACGACAUCAGCUCUCUGUAGGGAGUCGUCUCCUAAUUUCCUCCAUCCAUAAUAAAAAGAGCUACAUUAAACAUU